rnacentral:rRNA from 1 species
ACGAUCCGUCAGAAUGUGUCAUUCAACAGAAUAAUAUAUAUGACGGUACUUUUUUAGCUAAGAGAGCUAACGUUCCGUAGUGAACCUGCGAAGGAUCAUAA